AUUGAACGCUGGCGGCAGGCCUAACACAUGCAAGUCGAACGAGUGGCGGACGGGUGAGUAAUGUCUGGGAAACUGCCUGAUGGAGGGGGAUAACUACUGGAAACGGUAGCUAAUACCGCAUACCAUCAGAUGUGCCCAGAUGGGAUUAGCUUGUAGGUGGGGUAACGGCUCACCUAGGCGACGAUCCCUAGCUGGUCUGAGAGGAUGACCAGCCACACUGGAACUGGGCAACGGUCCAGACUCCUACGGAAGGCAGCAGUGGGAAAUAUUGCACAAUGGGCGCAAGCCUGAUGCAGCCAUGCCGCGUGUGUGAAGAGGGCCGUCGGGUUGUAAAGCACUUUCAGCGGGGAGGCGUUACCCGCAGAAGAAGCACCGGCUAACUCCGUGCCAGCAGCCGCGGUAAUUC
rnacentral:rRNA from 1 species